GACGAACGCUGGCGGCGUGCCUAACACAUGCAAGUGGAGCGACGAACCAGGCUUCGGCCUGGGGCAAAGCCGCGAACGGGUGAGUAACACGUGGGUAACCUGCCCCGAAGACCGGGACAACCCGAGGAAACUCGGGCUAAUACCGGAUGUGGUCACCGUCCACAAGGACGAUGAGCAAAGGAAGCUUCGGCCUCCGCUUCGGGAGGGGCCCGCGGCCCAUUAGCUUGUUGGUGAGGUAACGGCUCACCAAGGCUGCGAUGGGUAGCUGGUCUGAGAGGACGAUCAGCCACACUGGGACUGAGACACGGCCCAGACUCCUACGGGAGGCAGCAGUGGGGAAUCUUGCGCAAUGCGCGAAAGCGUGACGCAGCAACGCCGCGUGGGGGAAGAAGGCCUUCGGGUCGUAAACCCCUUUCAGGAGGGACGAAGCCUCGGGAGUGAAUAGCUUUCCGAGGUGACGGUACCUCACGAAGAAGCCCCGGCUAACUACGUGCCAGCCGCCGCAGUAAAAC
rnacentral:rRNA from 1 species